rnacentral:rRNA from 1 species
GACGAACGCUGGCGGCGUGCUUAACACAUGCAAGUCGAGCGGAAAGACCUCUUCGGGGGUACUCGAGCGGCGAACGGGUGAGUAACACGUGAGUAAUCUGCCCCCUACUUUGGGAUAACUACCGGAAACGGUGGCUAAUACCGGAUACGACACAGGUACGCAUGUGCUCUGUGUGGAAAGUUUUUUCGGUGGGGGAUGUGCUCGCGGCCUAUCAGCUUGUUGGUGGGGUAAUGGCCUACCAAGGCUUCGACGGGCAGCCGGCCUGAGAGGGUGACCGGCCACACUGGGACUGAGCCACAGCCCAGACUCCUACGGGAGGCAGCAGUGGGGAAUAUUGGACAAUGGGCGGAAGCCUGAUCCAGCAACGCCGCGUGAGGGAUGACGGCCUUCGGGUUGUAAACCUCUUUCAGUACCGACGAAGCGCCGGUAAUGGUGGUGACGGUAGGUACAGAAGAAGCACCGGCCAACUACGUGCCAGCAGCCGCCGUAAAAC